rnacentral:lncRNA from 1 species
GUUCGGCUAACUACGGGGUUAUGGAUUGGGUUUUGGACGAACAAUGUUACUACGCAAUCUACCAGAUGCUCGACCUUUGGAGACUUACUCGCCUGUAGUAGAAGGAGAUAACAUGUUGCUUUGGGUUUUAGGGUUUGUUCGUGUUGUAGGAACGCACAUGCAAAAAGGAAGUCCUAGGCGAAGGAACAGUGCUACCUUAACUGGCAUGCAAACGGGAGACUAUCUGAAGCCUCGUGUCCUAUGGGGAAGCGAUCACACCACACAAAACAUGUAUCUUAAAGUAAAAUGCCACCAAGGGGCUCAAACAUUGCCUCCUAUCGAGGUCUUCCAGCUAAGAAAGCG